rnacentral:rRNA from 1 species
CCUACGGGUGGCAGCAGUGGGGAAUAGUGCACAAUGGGGGAAACCCUGAUGCAGCAACGCCGCGGGAGUGAAGAAGGAUUUCGGUAUGUAAAGCUCUAUCAGCAGGGAAGAAGAUGACGGUACCUGAAUAAGAAGCCCCGGCUAACUCCGUCACAGCAGCCGCGGUAAUACGUAGGGGGCAAGCGUUCUCCUGAUUUACUGGGUGUAAAGGGAGCGCAGACGGCAGUGCAAGUCUGGAGUGAAAGCCCGGGGCCCAACCCCGGAACUGCUCUGGAAACUGUGCGGCUAGCGUACUGUCUGGGCAGGCCGACUUCCUAGUGUCGCGGUGAAAUGCGUAGAUAUUAGGCGGACCACCAGUGGCGAAGGCGGCCUGCUGGACAGUACCUGACGUUGAGGCUCGAACGCGUGGGGAGCAAACCGGAUUAGAUACCCUUGUAGUC